rnacentral:rRNA from 1 species
CGAACGGGUGAGUAACGCGUGAGGAACCUGCCUCAAAGAGGGGGACAACAGUUGGAAACGACUGCUAAUACCGCAUAAGCCCACGGUGCCGCAUGGCACAGAGGGAAAAGGAGCAAUCCGCUUUGAGAUGGCCUCGCGUCCGAUUAGCUAGUUGGUGAGGUAAUGGCCCACCAAGGCGACGAUCGGUAGCCGGACUGAGAGGUUGAACGGCCACAUUGGGACUGAGACACGGCCCAA